AUGAACGCUAGCGGCAGGCUUAACACAUGCAAGUCGAGGGGCAACACGGGUAGCAAUACCUGGUGGCGACCGGCGCAAGGGUGCGUAACGCGUGAGCAACAUGCCCUAUACAGGGGGAUAAUCCAGGGAAACUUGGUCUAAUAUCCCAUAGUAUUUAGAGGUGGCAUCACCACUAAAUUAAAGCUUCGGUGGUAUAGGAUUGGCUCGCGUGACAUUAGCUGGAUGGUGGGGUAACGGCUCACCAUGGCGAUGAUGUCUAGGGGUUCUGAGAGGAAGACCCCCCACACUGGGACUGAGACACGGCCCAGACUCCUACGGGAGGCAGCAGUGAGGAAUAUUGGACAAUGGAUGGAAAUCUGAUCCAGCCAUGCCGCGUGCAGGAAGACGGCCCUAUGGGUUGUAAACUGCUUUUAUAUGGGAGCAAUAAGGUUUACGAGUAGACCGAUGAGAGUACCAUAUGAAUAAGCAUCGGCUAACUCCGUG
rnacentral:rRNA from 1 species